rnacentral:misc_RNA from 1 species
AACGGUUCUCAGGUGCUCAGGUUGCCGGAGCGGCGUGUUUGAACCGUUUGAACCACAGGCACCACAGGUUUGAACCGUUUCAACGGGAGUAAUGGCAAAACGGACGGAGUAGCACUGCGUGGCCUCGCAAUCCCAGCGACCCGACGAGCUCGCAAAGCGGUGCUCGGAAGACGACGCUCCCAAAGCCGACGACGCGCACUCACCUCUGUGGACAGCGAAGAAACAUCGUCGCACUGUGACAACGGCGACUAGUACACGGCAUAAGUACAAGUGCAUGAUUUGUGAGAUGUGCUUCAAGAAAAUCUACAACUUAAAGAGGCACCUAAAGGAGGUUCACGGGGACGCUGACACCAGCUGGAUCACACUGUCCGCUGCCGCCUUGCAUGCGAUCUGUGUCCAACGGCUUUUGCAUUCCAUUGGGGACUUGCUGCGCCACUUUGAAGCGAAACACGGGAUCGUCGCGAGGCGUGACAAGUUAAAGUUCAAUUUGUUGAAAGAAUUCAGCGACUGGAGGGAGGCUAAGGAUGGCAGAGAGCAUGUUCGCUUCAUUCUCCACGACGGACCCAAGGGACGAGAUGAGGGUGUCCUGAAAAGAGGGAGUGACCACUGGCGACCACAAGCAUGAGGAUCUGCUACAGGAAGCAUAAUCAUGUACCUGGACCUCGAGACCGGUGGCCUUGGAGAUGUCAGCAAGGCUACGGGGUGAUUUGCUCAACGCGAGGCUGUGCAAUUUAGUGGCAUGGAACUAGUGCCUCAUUUCGGAGAUCUCCAUGGCGAGUGAACAGUGUAAGGCUGGUGGGGCAAGAAGUUUAUUGGAAGGUUUUGUCAUGCCAUGGUGAUCAACAUUCAUGACAGGUUCAUCUGCCGAACUAGCUAUGCAAUAGAGGCAAGCCUGCUAAGUCACUGGGAUUAGUCGUCAGUGUGUGGCGCAGAGGACUUCUAGGGACAAGUCCAGGAGACGAACAUGCAAUAUUUAUAUUCUGUCUAUAUUUUGGUGAACCAAUGUUACUGUUGACAUUUAAGUGUGGGACAU